rnacentral:rRNA from 1 species
UGAGGAAUAUUGGUCAAUGGGCGAGAGCCUGAACCAGCCAAGUCGCGUGAGGGACGACUGCCCUAUGGGUUGUAAACCUCUUUUCUACGGGGAGAAUAAAUACUACGCGUAGUAUGAUGACAGUACCGUAUGAAUAAGCAUCGGCUAACUCCGUGCCAGCAGCCGCGGUAAUACGGAGGAUGCGAGCGUUAUCCGGAUUUAUUGGGUUUAAAGGGUGCGUAGGCGGUAUAUUAAGUUAGUGGUCAAAUGUCGGGGCUUCACCCCGGACAGCCAUUAAAACUGGUGUACUUGAGUACAGUCGAGGUAGGCGGAAUAAGUUAAGUAGCGGUGAAAUGCAUAGAUAUAACUUAGAACUCCGAUAGCGAAGGCAGCUUACCAGACUGACACUGACGCUGAUGCACGAGAGCGUGGGUAGCGAACAGG